GAUGAACGCUGGCGGCGUGCCUAAUACAUGCAAGUCGAGCGAACGGACGAGAAGCUUGCUUCUCUGAUGUUAGCGGCGGACGGGUGAGUAACACGUGGAUAACCUACCUAUCAGACUGGGAUAACUUCGGGAAACCGGAGCUAAUACCGGAUAAUAUUUUGAACCGCAUGGUUCAAAAGUGAAAGACGGUCUUGCUGUCACUUCUAGAUGGAUCCGCGCUGCAUUAGCUAGUUGGUAAGGUAACGGCUUACCAAGGCAACGAUGCAUAGCCGACCUGAGAGGGUGGUCGGCCACACUGGAACUGAGACACGGUCCAGAGUACUACGGGAGGCAGCAGUAGGGAAUCUUCCGCAGUGGGCGAAAGCCUGACGGAGCAGCGCGGCGUGAGUGAUGAAGGUCUUCGGAUCGUAAAACUCUGUUAUUAGGGAAGAACAGAUGUGUAAGUAACUGUGCACAUCUUGACGGUACCUAAUCAGAAAGCCACGGCUAACUACGUG
rnacentral:rRNA from 1 species